UGAGGAAUAUUGGUCAAUGGGCGGGAGCCUGAACCAGCCAAGCCGCGUGAGGGAAGAAGGCCCUAUGGGUCGUAAACCUCUUUUGUCAGGGAACAAAAAGCGAGUAUGUAUACUAGUCUGAGUGUACCUGAAGAAAAAGCAUCGGCUAACUCCGUGCCAGCAGCGCGGUAAUACGGAGGAUGCGAGCGUUAUCCGGAUUUAUUGGGUUUAAAGGGUGCGUAGGCGGCGAUGCAAGUCAGCGGUAAAAGCCCGGGGCUCAACCCCGGCGAGCCGUUGAAACUGCAGUGCUAGAGAAGGCGAGAGGUACGCGGAAUGCGCAGUGUAGCGGUGAAAUGCUUAGAUAUUGCGCAGAACUCCGAUUGCGAAGGCAGCGUACUGGCGCCUGACUGACGCUGAGGCACGAAAGCGUGGGGGAUCGAACAGGAUUAGAUACC
rnacentral:rRNA from 1 species